rnacentral:rRNA from 1 species
AUUGAACGCUGGCGGCAGGCCUAACACAUGCAAGUCGAACGAGUGGCGGACGGGUGAGUAAUGUCUGGGAAACUGCCUGAUGGAGGGGGAUAACUACUGGAAACGGUAGCUAAUACCGCAUACCAUCAGAUGUGCCCAGAUGGGAUUAGCUUGUUGGUGGGGUAAUGGCUCACCAAGGCGACGAUCCCUAGCUUGUCUGAGAGGAUGACCAGCGACACGGGAACUAAGACACGGUCCAGACUCCUACGGGCGGCAGCAGUGGGGAAUAUUGCACAAUGGGCUGAAGCCUGAUGUAGCCAUGCCGGGGGUAUGAAGAAGGCCUUCGGGUUGUAAAGUACUUUCAGCGAGGAGGCGUUACCCGCAGAAGAAGCACCGGCUAACUCCGUGCCAGCAGCCGCGGUAAUUC